UAUUGGUCAAUGGGCGCGAGCCCGAACCAGCCAAGUAGCGUGAAGGAUGACGGCCCUAUGGGUUUUAAACUUCUUUUAUAUGGGAAUANNGUUUGGUAUGUAUACCAUUUUGUAUGUACCAUAUGAAUAAGGAUCGGCUAACUUCGUGCCAGCAGCCGCGGUAAUACGGAGGAUCCGAGCGUUAUCCGGAUUUAUUGGGUUUAAAGGGAGCGUAGGUGGACAGUUAAGUCAGUUGUGAAAGUUUGCGGCUCAACCGUAAAAUUGCAGUUGAUACUGGCUGUCUUGAGUACAGUAGAGGUGGGCGGAAUUCGUGGUGUAGCGGUGAAAUGCUUAGAUAUCACGAAGAACUCCGAUUGCGAAGGCAGCUCACUGGACUGCAACUGACGUUGAGGCUCGAAAGCGUGGGGAGCAAA
rnacentral:rRNA from 1 species